UGCAAGUCGAACGAGAAAGUUUCCUUCGGGAAACAAGUAGAGUGGCGCACGGGCUGAGUAACGCGUAGGUAAUCUACCCUUUUACCUGGGAUAACAUUGGGAAACUGGUGCUAAUACCGGAUACACUUCUUUGCUGCGGGGCGAAGGAGGAAAGGUGGCCUCUUCAUGAAAGCUACCGUAGAGGGAUGAGCCUGCGUACCAUUAGCUAGUAGGUGGGGUAACGGCCCACCUAGGCGACGAUGGUUAGCGGGUCUGAGAGGAUGAUCCGCCACACUGGAACUGGAACACGGACCAGACUCCUACGGGAGGCAGCAGUGAGGAAUAUUGCGCAAUGGGGGCAACCCUGACGCAGCGACGCCGCGUGAGUGAGGAAGGUCUUCGAAUCGUAAAGCUCUGUCAGAAGGGAAGAAAUGCCAUAUGGUUAAUACCCAUAUGGUUUGACGGUACCUUCAGAGGAAGCACCGGCUAACUCCGUGCCAGCAGCCGCGGUAAUACGGUGGGUGCAAGCGUUGUUCGGAAUUACUGGGCGUAAAGGGCGCGUAGGCGGUUUGCUAAGUCAGAUGUGAAAGUCCACGGCUCAACUGUGGAAGUGCAUUUGAAACUGUCAGACUUGAGUAUUGGAGGGGAGUGUGGAAUUCCCGGUGUAGAGGUGAA
rnacentral:rRNA from 1 species